UACCAAAAUGCCCUGUUCCCAUUAUAAAAUCCAAGCUUACCCAAACUCAAGGUGAGGACUGAGGAACCGAAACACUAUUCAUUCUCUCCCCACCUCUUGACACCGAAUUGAGAGGCUGCUGUGGUCUCCCCCAGUCUCUUCUUCAGUCUUUUUCCCUAAUUUCUCUCUCGUUUUCUCCCUCUCCCUCUCUCUUUCCCAUUCUUCUUUCAACCACAUUGAGAUUAAUGUUGAAAUUGGAACUGUUCAUUGUCCAUGAGAAGGCGACGUAGCGGCGAACAGACCACGGCAAGGAACCAUCUUUCUAUCGUCCUCUCUUACUUUUUCCCACUUCUCCCACUCUCUCCCUCCUCCCCUGCCACUGUCAUUCCAGUUGAUCCGCCGCUGCAACUCUCAGCAGCGACGGCAUUCUCUCUUUCCCUCUCGAGCCUCUCCGUUUCUCGUUCCCACAUUCUUUUUCCCAACCAAUCGCCAAAGCCCUGUUUUUGUUUGCCCUUUAAAUAGAUCCGACCACAACAAGUUUUAAAGAGAGUUUUCCUCCCAGGUUCAUCCGAAGCCCACAUCGAAAUCACCUUCUUCUCAUCAAUCUAUUGGGCAUAACCCCGAUCGUCACCAUUGCUGGAAGAGACAAACUGAAAUGAAGUCCCCCCUUCACUACAUCGCACGAAGUCAACUGGCUUCCUAGUUGCAAUCCCCGAUCACCAACCUUGCGGCAGCAUCGUUCUCAGGCCAACAUUCGCCUCAGAGAGAGGUGAUGUAGCGCGAUCUGGUCACUCUUAGCUGGCAGGGGUCUCGCUCUUAACUAGCAACGGACAGCACCUGAGAAGGAGAAGAAGACGAAGGAUUCCCGGGGAGUUCGCCCGGCAGCCGUUAUUCGCCAGGCUGAUUCGAUUGGUGCAGGUAAUCGUCGUAGAGUACGGUCCUGUCAAUUGAGAGACGCUACGCAGAGUUGGCGUGCAUGACACCACCUGACGUGAGACGUGGGCGCAGUCCUCUGGACUGGCAAGUGCUGCGCCACCAGACAAGAGAUGUGGGAGCAGUCUGACAGGCACUGUCUUGUCGGAUAAGAAGUUUUCUGAAGACUUUGGGUUACUCAAUAGCGAGCUCCUUUGUAGCGAGCUCCAAUAGCGGUUGCCUUGCAGCAAGCCGUUCCGCAGCGAGCUGUCUUGUGGCGAGCUAUUCAUGCUGGGUUUUCAGCGAACUCAUUAUGCUGAGUUGUGGCCAAGCUGUCAUGCUGAGCUAUUAUUUACAUCGAGCCAUAUCAACGUGUCCCCUGGUUAGGAGGUCGGGUCAAAUCAUCCUCCAUCAAGAGGUGUUUAACAUUUUUCUUCUCCCAUUUGAGUUUUACUCAGACUGGUUUGGUUUGGAGUUAUAAAAACAAUUUUUGAUGUUAUUCUCAAAGGUUUCAUCACCUCCAUUUAUUGAUGAAUGACGACUCCAUGUCAACCCAAAUGAGUCUUUUCAACACUCA